AGGAACACCGAUCUCGUUUUUAAGUAUAAAAUAUUAUAGUAGUAGUAGCAGCUGAGAUCUUCCAGUGAACUUCCAUAGUCAAAGCUUUUAUUGUGUGUGUAUUGAUGAGUAUGUGUGAAGAACAAGAUUGGAUCAGUGCAUUACCAGAUGUAAUUCUCCAUCACAUCCUCUCUUUUUUUGCCUACUCAUCCUAUGGAAGUUCACCCCUGUCAUUGACUUUCCAAUCACACCUUAUCAAGGGAUCACUGAAUCCCAAUCCAUUUUCAUACACAAACACUUUGACCCAACACCAAGCCUUGAAUUCAGCCUUGAGUUCUCCGUUGGAACCUUUUGGGACCAUGACCUUGAUGUUCAGCACUGCAUUGAGUUUGCCAUUUCAAAACAGGUUCAGAUUCUUUCAGUUAUAGCUCAUUUACUGCCUGAAGAACAUUGCCUUUUGCCUAACAUGUUGUAUUCCCAUGAUAAUAUUCGAUGGUUGGAACAUGUUUCGUUGAAGGUUUUUUUUUUUUUUCAAUCCAGAUCCACCAAGUGUUCUACCGUUUGCUUCACUGAAAACCCUUUGCUCUUUGAUUGUGUGAUCGAUGAUGAAACUCUAAAUGGCUUGUUAUCUAACUGUCCUCUUCUUGAAAGCUUGACACUUGAUUGGUGCCAUAGGUUACUUAAGUUUAAGACUUCUUGGUGGCAAAGCAUGAGGCUUAAACACUUAGAUGGAUAGAUGAGCUUGCUUUGAAUGUAGAAAUUGAUGUGCCAAUUUGUUUACUUUUAAAUUCUGUGGAGAUUUAAUGAUGAUCUCUCUCAGUUCUUUGCCUUCCAUUGUUGAAGCGACAGUUCUUCAAUGAAGAAAUAGACAAUAUGAGCAGGACUUUACAACAUGUUUUGGAAAUCUUUCCCAUGUAAAGAAACUUGGUGUAAAUUCUUGGUUUUGUCAGUUUCUUGCUAGAGAACACAAGGUGAACGGUAAUGGAUGGAUCAUUUUCGAAAAUCUUAAAGGUCUUUUCUUGGUUUGGUCCAUUGGCAAAAGAUUGUGAUCUUGAGUCAUGGCCCUUAUAUGGAGAAGAUUGAAAUGGAUGGAUACAAUUGAGACGCUAAGAGUAAAAAACGAGCAGAAAAGGACCAAAUUGAAACACAAUCAAUAAAAUGAGGCCGAAUAAAAAAUGUAGAAGAAGCCAAUGGCUCAUCAGAUUCUUCUGACUUUGUAAAAGCCAAAAAUAGAAAAAAAAUAUUUUUUUAUUUAAUUUUAAUUAUACGUUGAAUGGUUAAAGCCAAAAUUAGUAAAUUCUAUGUAUAUAAAUAAGGCUUUAAUGUACUUAGAAAAGACACAUUUUAAUUUUACAUAAUUGAUUUUCAUUUGGAAUUUAAGAGAAA